rnacentral:rRNA from 1 species
UACAGGGGGUGCAAGCGUUGCUCGGAAUACUGGGCGUAAAGCGAGCGCAGGCGGCCGAUUAAGUCAGAGGUGAAAACUCGGGGCUCAACCCCGAGCCUGCUUCUGAUACGGGCAGACUGGAGGUAUGCAGGGGAGAACGGAAUUCCUGGUGUAGCGGUGAAAUGCGCAGAUAUCAGGAGGAACACCGGUGGCGAAGGCGGUUCUCUGGGCAUUACCUGACGCUGAGGAGCGAAAGUGUGGGGAGCGAACAGG